rnacentral:rRNA from 1 species
AAAGUCGUAACAAGGUUUCCGUAGGUGAACCUGCGGAAGGAUCAUUAUUGAUUGUGAAUCGUUGCCUCCAGUGCUGGCUCUCGCAAGUGCACGGUUGGUGACUUUCAUCCAACACCCUGUGAACCCUUGGCCUCUUGCUAGCUUCGGCUGGCAGAGGAUUUUUACACACACUCGAAUGUAAUGAAAUUAUUGUCGUGCGCAAGCACUUAUGUACAACUUUCAACAACGGAUCUCUUGGCUCUCGCAUCGAUGAAGAACGCAGCGAAAUGCGAUAAGUAAUGUGAAUUGCAGAAUUCAGUGAAUCAUCGAAUCUUUGAACGCACCUUGCACCCUUUGGCAUUCCGAAGGGUAUGCUCGUUUGAGUGUCAUUGUACUCUCACACUUCUGAUCCUUUGGAUCUGGAGCGGUGGACUUGGGUGUUGCCACUUGACGGUGGCUCACCUCGAAUGCAUUCGUGCAACUCCUGGUUGGACCAUAGUACGGCGUGAUAAGUGUCUUCGCCGGCACCUCGUGAGAGGGUGGCCGAUCGAGAGCUCUGUGCUUUCAAACCGUCCUUGCAAGGACAAUGACUGACAACUUGACCUCAAAUCGAGUAGGACUACCCGCUGAACUUAAGCAUAUCAAUAAGCGGAGGAAAAGAAACUAACA